UGGGGAAUAUUGCACAAUGGAGGAAACUCUGAUGCAGCGAUGCCGCGUGAGGGAAGAAGGUUUUAGGAUUGUAAACCUCUGUCUUCAGGGACGAAAAAAGACGGUACCUGAGGAGGAAGCUCCGGCUAACUACGUGCCAGCAGCCGCGGUAAUACGUAGGGAGCGAGCGUUGUCCGGAAUUACUGGGUGUAAAGGGAGCGUAGGCGGGAUCGCAAGUCAGAUGUGAAAACUAUGGGCUUAACCCAUAAACUGCAUUUGAAACUGUGGUUCUUGAGUGAAGUAGAGGUAAGCGGAAUUCCUAGUGUAGCGGUGAAAUGCGUAGAUAUUAGGAGGAACAUCAGUGGCGAAGGCGGCUUACUGGGCUUUAACUGACGCUGAGGCUCGAAAGCGUGGGGAGCAAACAGGAUUAGAUACCCUGGUAGUCCACGCCGUAAACGAUGAUUACUAGGUGUGGGGGGACUGACCCCUUCCGUGCCGCAGCAAACGCAAUAAGUAAUCCACCUGGGGAGUACGACCGCAAGGUUGAAACUCAAAGGAAUUGACGGGGGCCCGCACAAGCAGUGGAGUAUGUGGAUUAAUUCGAAGCAACGCGAAGAACCUUACCAGGUCUUGACAUCGUAUGCAUACCUCAGAGAUGAGUGAAAUCUCUUCGGAGACAUAUAGACAGGUGGUGCAUGGUUGUCGUCAGCUCGUGUCGUGAGAUGUUGGGUUAAGUCCCGCAACGAGCGCAACCCUUACUGUUAGUUGCUACGCAAGAGCACUCUAGCAGGACUGCCGUUGACAAAACGGAGGAAGGUGGGGAUGACGUCAAAUCAUCAUGCCCCUUAUGACCUGGGCCUCACACGUACUACAAUGGCUGUCAACAGAGGGAUGCAAAGCCGCGAGGUGGAGCGAACCCCUAAAAGCAGUCUUAGUUCGGAUUGUAGGCUGCAACCCGCCUACAUGAAGUCGGAAUUGCUAGUAAUCGCAGAUCAGCAUGCUGCGGUGAAUACGUUCCC
rnacentral:rRNA from 1 species